rnacentral:tRNA from 1 species
AUUCUUAUAGCUUAAUUUUAAGAGUGUGAUAUUGAAAAUAUCAAGGUGGAUAAUUAUUCUAUGAAUA